rnacentral:tRNA from 1 species
GCCCGGGUGAUGGAACGGUAGACACAGGGGCCUUAAAAGCCCCGGCCCCGAGGGGCGUGUGGGUUCGAAUCCCACCCCGGGCA